rnacentral:lncRNA from 1 species
UUUUUUUUUUUUUUUAAUUUCGGUAAUCAGCGAUGAAUCAGAUUUAGUGCUAAAUAAGACAUGUUCUUGGAUCUGGAACACAAAAGAGUUGUUUUCCUUUAUUAUUGUUGUUGUACCUAUAAUGACUGUCAUUAUUGAAUAAAGAUAAGGGUUCUAAUUUGUUUGUUGUUUUGAUGAGUAAAGUCUUAGUCUCCCUUAUCUCCAGAUAAGGGACAUAUACUGCCAGGCUAAACUGGCUUCCCUUCAAGUCUCUUCAGCUAGGAAGAAAUGUGAUUUAAUGAAUGCAAAGGUACUCCCCACAUGCCUAAGAUUGUAUAUGGGGAACUAGUCUUUUAAUGCAGAUUCCCAGACUCCAGUUCCAGACAUUGUGAAUUAAAAUUGACAAUUUUUCAUUUUUAAAAGCACUCCAGGAAACGCUGAAGUUCAUAGUUGGCAGGGUGUGCUUAGAGAAACCGUGGUGUGAUCACAAGAAGGGCUGUAUGGUCUAGCCACCAGACUUUCAAUUCCAACAUUACCAGGGGCAAGUGUGACCUUGGGUAGGUUUUAUAAAAGCUAUUUGAGCCUCAUGUUAUUCAUCUCAGCAAAAUGACUCCAUGUCAUUUUUUUUAGGAGUAAAUGAAAUUUUAUGUAUAAAAUAGCCAAUAUUUAAUUGAUGCUUAAUUUUAGGUUUUCUGCUUCCUUUCCCUUUUUAAUACGCUGAUUAGCAUUGUCUGUUUUGUGCUUCUGAGCUAGCAUGUACCCUUUCUUCCUUUUGUUAGAAUUCCUUGUGUCCUUCUUUUUUCUCACUGGACUCCAUACUCCUUAAGUACAGGUAUUUGCCCUCACUUUAUUUCUAUGUGCUUAAAAUUUGCACACAGCAAACAUACACUAAAGUACUUUCAUAGAUAGUUAUCCUUACACCAUGGUACUUACUUCACUUUAUGGUCUCAUACCAAAACGAUCUUAAAUCGUUUGCAAGAUUCACACUUCCCAAAAUUCACUAAUUCUUCGUUGUCUUUUUAUAGCACAACACAUUUGGCAAGAAAUAGGAUCACACAUUCUUUAAUUUCCUUAUCGAGAGGAAAUGCCUGAUUUAAAUCAAGGAAUGAUGGAAUCAAAUACUUGUUUUGACACUUCAUACUGUGUUUGUUGGCCAAAGAAUGACUUUGUGACUUAGAUUAUAUAGCCUUUAAGCUGAUACAUUUAUUUAUUCUAUCUAAUUAUGUUUAUUAGUUCAUGGAAUACUUACUGAGCUCACACUGUGGGCCAGACACUGUGUUAGGCAGCUGGGAUAUUCUAGGAACAAAACAGCCUCUAUGUUCAAGGAUCCCAUGGGUUAGUAAGGAUGGCUAACCAAUAUACAAAUGAUUUCAAUGCAAUGUGGUUCAUACUCAUCUAGAGGAGGUUUGGGAACUCCUGGCCUACUAUAAAUGGGAGAAGGAAAGUUUACUGAAGGUGAUUAUAUCCAAGAUGAAAGUCAAAGAAAUGGAGAAUGGCAAGGUGAAGGAAGGGAAAUGUGCUCCAGGGAGAAGUAACAGCAUGUGUAAACACUGGGGGAUGAAGGGCUCUUCAUGCUCAUAAUAAGUAUGUAGCUGGAUCUGGUAGUGAGAAGAGGUUAGAGUAAUAAAUGUGGAACUCUGUCACAGAGAGAUUUAUUUUGUUCAGGCUAAAGAAUUAGUGUGGUCAUGAAUGCAAAAGGAAGCCAUUUAAAAAUUCUCAGUACAGAUGUGACCAUAUCAUAAUGUAAUUCUAAGUUCAUAUUUUAUGCCCACCGAAAUUUUACUUUUAACUGAUGUUUAAAAAUAAAUCUUGAUUAGAUGCAUGUAUAUAUUUUCUUAAGAAAUUUGAGCUUAAUUUUCACAACCACGUAUGAGUUGAAUGUCUGUUAAGAGCUGGUAACACUCAGGCAGCCCGGGUGGCUCAGCGGUUUAGCACCGCCUUCAGCCCAGGGCCUGAUCCUGGAGACCUGGGAGUCCCACUCGGGCUCCCUGCAUGGAGCUUGCUUCUCCCUCUGCCUGUGUCUCUCUUUCUCUGUUUCUCAUGAAUAAAUAAAUAAAAUCUUUAAAAAAAAAAAAAGCGCUGGUAACAAUAACUGAAAGUGGUAAAGUAUCAUCUCAAAAUAGAGAGCCUUUAUUUAUUUUUUAGUAAUACACUGUCUUUAAGAAAAUUCUAGUAUAAAAUGGCUUCUAUCUCAUAUUACCUCACAUAGCCUCUCCCAAUUGCUCAGUUUUAGUGCUCAGGAUAGGCUAGGUUAUGAUGCAGAAAUAAACAGCCUCCAACUCUCAGUGGCUUUAAAGAAAACAAAAUAGUAUCCAUUCUGGAAGUCCACUGUGACGACUGUCAGUUGAAGAUGCUUUGCCUAACUAUAGACCGUUGGACGCUCAGGUUAAUGGAGAAGCCACUUCCUUGAAAGUUGCUGGCCAGUGAACCAGAAGAAAGAGCCAAGAUACUGCUCAGAAAGACAUAAACUUGAGUUUCAUCCAGUCAUGGAUAACUUCUACUACAAAAAAGAGAGAAAUGUAGCUUCUUCUGCAUGAAUUCUAUCCUCUGAGCCCAGGGCUUGCUUCCUCUGUCUCUGCUUCAUCUGAGACAGAGGAAGCAGAGACGUGACUAGUUUUCCAAAUGUGCAACCGGUCUUGAGUCCAUAGUUGGAAACAUAUCAACAACUGUAUAUAGGUAAGGUUUUAUAUACAGUGUUUUGCCAGCACCAUUUUGUCGAAGCAAUUCAUAUUGAGCAUACUUAGGAGAAAGAGAGAUUUCUAAAAAGUCCUACAUUGCGGCUCAAAACAUAUUUGCCAGAACUGUACUCACUCAAAUACAAGGAAGCCAGAAAAUUCAAGCCUACCAUGUAUCCUGGAAAGGUCAACCAAAAAUAUUACCAUUAACUAUCACACCAAUAAAAUAGCUAUGAAACCUAGAAAAAAGAUAAAAGUCUACACUACCACAUAAAUCCAAGAAUGACCAACAUCCUUUUGCUGGGAUCUUGGAGAAGAUUUUACUACCCAGAAGGCUAAUGAUAGUUCUCAUGGGGGCGGGGGGGGAUGGUUGGCUUUUGUAGUCUUAGGCUCAUGAAACUGAGAAACCCCAUCCAUCUAAAGUCACCUGAGGUCUCUCCAUCACCCCUGCACUAUUUUCCCCAUGGCAUUGUAAUCCCAAAGUCUUUAGCAAAUUAAAACCCAAUAGCUGUCGAUCUGUUUCAAGGGUUCUUCUUUCUGGAGUGUCUAGAGUACUCUUCCCUCCCACACUCCCAGUUUUUCCACACAUAAUCAGAGGUUGUGGUCACUAUAAUGCAUCAGGGCAAAGAAUACCAUGCCGAGUGAGGUACAAAUCUUCAUCUCUUCUGGCCCCAGCCAUUCUUUGAUGAAACUAAAUUGUAGAAGCAUUCACUGGACUCUCAUUUCCUUUGUCAUAGCUAGUAGAGUGAAAUUCUGAUAUUUAUAGGAUAAAGACAAGGCUGUGGCCUUGUGGUUUCUGCCUCUUCUCACAGGAACAAUUUCUUCUGGCUGGCAAAACUGAAGAGGACACAAGUGGAGUAAUGGAAAGGUUAUGCAAGCAUAUAGACUUGGAUCUAAAUUCUGGUUCUUCCACUUACUAGUUGUGUGAACUUAACGCCAUUGCCUCAGUUUCCUCAUCUGUCAAAAAUAAUAAUAGAGCCUCACUAUGAAGCUGUUGUAAUAUGACAAUCUUAUGGAUAUAGCAAAUGUCUGGCAAGGAUUAUCAGCAUAUUAUCACACUUCACAAGCAGCCAGAAAGUAUUUCCUGAGUUAUGGUCUAUUCAUAUGUGAAUUUAGGUUAAAAAAUAGGAAUUUUUUCCUGUAAAACCACAUUUCUUGGUCUCCUAGGAAAGCCACAAGGGCUCCCCUGAAAACUCUGUGUAGAGAUUUGGAUGUUUGUUGUCCCCUGAACUCCAUUCCAGUAAAAACCAUUUCCAGUUCAUGUCGAAAUGAUCAGCAGCUCAAAAACACGAAAUCGGGAUGCGUGGGUGGCUCAGGGGUUGAGCAUUUGCCUUCAGCUCAGGGAAUGAUCCUGGAGUUCCAAGAUUGAGUCCCACAUCGGGCUCCCUGCAUGGAGCCUACUUCUCCCUCUGCCUGUGUCUCUGUUUCUCUCUUUCUCUUGAAUAAAUAAAUAAAAUCUUAAAAAAAACACUAUGAAACCAAAAAUGGUAAAAGAGCAACAAGAGAGCGUGUAGUAAUUUUUCAUUUUCUGAAAGCCCAAAGGUGCAAGAAGGCAAGCGUCAGAGAACAUAUACCAUAAACUAUUCUAGGUGUUUCCUCAGUUGGACUGUAUAUUCCAGAAAUGCAAAGAUUGCAGCAUCUUAUAUAGUUUGGACUUAGAAGUGAGUCUGGCAUGUAACAGGUGCUCAAAAGUAUUUGAUAAAUGCUUUAAUGGGCCGUCUAGCCCCAUGCUGGGUACACAGCCAAACUGAAAAUAGGUGGUGAUGUUAAAUUUUCUUCAGACUCCUUAUCUUCAAAACAAAGGGUGAGUUUCAAGUCUUGCAAACUAAAAUGCUUUCUGUGGUGUGGUAAUGUUAAAGUAAGUGUGGAAAAGCACCCGAAUGCAGGAAGAAGACAAGAAGGAGUGGUGGGGACUGUGGCUAAUUAAAGGGUGUCCCAAGAGAUUUAUAUACUUUUUUUUUUUUUUUAACAUUCAGCAUAGCAAAGAAAAUCUAUCCCCUGGAAAAUUAAUUCAUCUUCAGGCUGCUUGUCUGUGACCCCUGGUAGUGAUAAUCCAAGUCCUUUCUAGCACUAACAUUUUUGGUUGCAUGAACUAAGGUACUUUUGGAGUAUUGCUGCCUUAUCCACACCUUGGCUGCUGUCAGCCUUGUUAAUUCCUAAUUUUUUCAUGAGAUGUUUCAAAAGGUGUGCAUGUAAUUUCAGAUGACUUUGUUCUUAUCAAGGAUGCCUGUCUCACCAGUAACUGACUUUGAAUUCUAGAUAAUACUAUUUACAUCCAAUUCUGGACGUUAGGUCAAAUGGCUGAAGUGUUGCUUAUUCACUUACAUCCAAGACAUAAGGUAUCACUAGAUCCAGAAAUGAAUUAUCCCUGGUGGGGUCUCUUUGACACAUGGCUCCAGGAACUCAUCAUUUAGAUGUCAGUCAUUCCUUCCUCCUGGCUCCAAUGUCUCACAGGUUUCCUGACAACAAUUAGGAGGACUAAAAUCACUCAUAAUCACAAUCACACCUGCCUUCCUUAUUGGCUCACAGGCAAUUUACUUCUCUCAGCUCUUCUGUCACAUAGCAGACCCCGGGUGUUACUUUUCCAAACUUCAAUUAUAGACAUUCAAUCUGACAGCUUCCCUGAAGUCAUUAUUCUGCCCCUAUUUUCUGAUAUUGAUCCCAAAUGUUUGGGUAAAAGUGUAAAAAAAAAAUGCAGUCAGUCAUCCAGAUGUUUAGGAAUAUCCAGAUGUGUGUUGUAUAGAGACAUGCCUCUGGGUGAUGGUUGUGAUUUUGUAAGCUUUGAGGUUAUACUGAAUCAGAAUAGAAAUUUUCUACCACCUGCCUCCCUUUACGUAUCCAAAACUCAUUAUAUCUGCUAAGGGGAAAGUCCAUCUACAUCUGAGUUACCCUUCAGCCACUCACAAGAUAUGACAGCAGGUUUAAGAUUUUGGGUUUCUUUCUACUUCCCCAAGUGUUUUCUGGAACAGUCCUGGAAUAUCUUUGACAUUUAUUUUCCCACUGAUAUGACUCAUGCUGCCAGUUCUCUUAGCAGGCAAAAACAAGUACUGUCAACUUUAUUUGAAACAAUUUUCUUUCUCUGUUAUGACAACAACAACGACUACAACCACCAAUUCCUGAAUAUCUAGAAUGGGUUGGGCACUCAGCCAGUGUCUAUAGAUACCUUAUGAUAUUUAAUCUUAAAAACAAAAAUUAAGAUGCUUCUUUUGGUUCCUGUUUUAUAAACUGGAAAAACUCAAUCCACAUCAAAGCUUACUUUCCUUAGAUGGCACAUAAAUGACACAUAUGGAAUUCAAAUGCAGAUCUAUCUGAUUCCAAAUAAAAAUAUUAACAACAACAGUUGUAUGUGUUACUUUGUUAUAGGUCAGAUCUUUGCACACAUUAUUCCACUUAACCCUUGCAUAACUUGUGAGUUGGUUACCUAUAGUUCUCCCCACUCUGUGGAUGACCUUUUAUUCACCUAUCUUUAUUUUAGUACCUUCUAAGUCAGUGUCUCUGAGUCUACUUCAAUUUUCAUACUUCAUUCUUAAUUUCCUCCAAGAAAACACUGGUUUUGUUAGUGUCUCAAUACAUAUUUUAAUUUAAUGGGGUACUUAAUGCAUGCCACAUAUUGCUUGGAUUUAUAUGGAUAAUUUAAAGAGAUUAAACCUCUUUGUACUUUUUAUUUAUUCUUUAAAUCUUUCCCUAUUUAGCAUUCCUGUAAAACUCUACUUUUUGUGUAAGAUUGUCUCCCCUUUGAGGCUUCUACUUUGUACAUAUAAACAAAAAAGUAUGUUAGUGGUAACAACUCAUUGGGAACCUGAAAACCAGCUCAGCUCUUGAUUAGCUUUGUGAUCUCAGAAAAUUAACCCAGACUUUCUGAAUUUUAAGUUUACUUACUUGUAACACGGGCAGCUGAUACUUACACACACACACACACACACACACACACACACACACAUACACACACAAGGUCUAUAUGAGUUCAAUUAGAUUAAGAGUGAAAAUCCUAUCAUGAAGUAGUUGUUCACUAGAUGCUACUUCUCACCCUAGAAGGCAUUCAGUCUGGGUCCAGAGGGAGUCUACCCCAUUGUAGAAAUGUCUUCAGUUCAGUCUCCAUCCAAACAGGAAUGGUUUAGUAAAGUGUCUGAUACAGUAUCUGGAACUCAAACCAUGUUAGUUCCUCCUCUAUUUCCUCUUUUUGCUUCUAAUUUUUGUAAUUUGUCCAUGAUGCUAGGGACAUUGUAAGUGUUCCAAAUAAUCCUAACUAAAUAAAUGAAAUACACAAACUUGGGAGCUGUGUCCUAAGUGUUUAUAAUCCUUAAAAAAUGUUGUGAAAUGGAAGCUAUUAUCUCCAUUUUAAUAAUGAAGAAACUGAGGCCAAUGGCUAAUGAAAAGCCCUAAGGCUAUAAGCUAAUGAUUUCCAGAGGCAGGGUUUUAGCUCUGUUUUUCUUUUCUUAUUCAAAGUCCCCCUAUCUUCUACUUAAUAUAUAAAUAUACCUCUCUUCAUUGUAAACAUACUACAACUGAUUCUGUCUUUAACAUUUUGAUAUUUUACCAUGAACUUUUAUAUUAAUUUAAAUUGAAAUAAAUAUUGCAUUAAGUAUUAUUUAUAUUGCUUACUGAGUUUUUUGACACCCUUAGAUUUGUCACGUGGUGAGUGAGACACUCGUGUCUCCUCAGUUCUGACCCUUUACAUAAUUCCUCAUGUCAAUAGUCAACUAUCAUGUCUUCAUGUACUAUUUGGUUCAUUCAUUCAUUUAGAAAAUUGCUUACAAACCCAUGUUUCUAUAUAGUCAGAGCUGUUCAUCUUCUUGUAACCUGAUUAUAAAUAAGUCUUUGUUGUCAUGGAGUGUGAGGCAGGUUCAAGAGCCCACACUCGAAUAUUAAUGAGUGGGAAAUGGAUGAUUUUAUGAUUCCUGACCUUUCCGCUUUGAUCCAUUAGGAAGUAUAGAUUGGUUAGUAGUUAGUACAACUGGGCAAAAGCUGUCUAAGUGGAAAAUUGAUCCUGGUAAGUGCACACAUAGUGGUUCCACCCAUUAAUGCUUCCUAUUUUAGCAUUUUGAACUUUUGCGCAAAGAUACCUCAAAUUCCAAGUUCAUACCCUAGUGUGCCAAGCUGAAGGUGUGGGAGACUUGGCAUGAACUGACAGACAUGUAAUUUUUUAACAUGUUAAUUAAAAGGAUGAGUUAAAAGAAAUGACAUAAAAAUCAGCAGAUCAGCACCAGACUCUAGGAAGGAACCCAGUGUCUCCUCACCCCAGGUCAAUUGGCCUCCUCAUUGGGAAAGUUUUGCAGGUACUUGCAAAAUCAGUGCAAGGCCCAUUUUCUUCAGCUCCACAGGAAAUCCCAGGCUUGGCUGCCUCUACUUCACUGUUGAGAACGUGGCAGGUAGAGGUAACAUACUGUGGUCUGGUAGAAAGGGCCUGGAUUUCCCAACUCUGUCCCUCUUACUAUCUUUCUCUGGGCUUUAAUUUCCCUAUUGGAAAAGCUAGAGGAUUGGAUUGGGUGAUCCUUAAGGACCAAUCCUAGAACUCUAUGAUCCCCUUGAGUUCUUCCUCUGGCUCAUAUAUAGCUCCAGAUCUGCCUUUGUACUAGAUAAAGGUAGCAAACAGGAUUCAUUUCAAAUAUUA